UCGGACUGAUAGUUGGUCGCUGAGCCCCUAAAGGACUCAGAGGAAAGUCCGGACAGCACAUGGCAAGACAGUUGCUAACGGCAACCGGGGGUAACCCUAGGGAAAGUGCCACAGAAACGACACCGCCGAAGUCCCUAAAGGACUGGUAAGGUUGAAAGGAGUGGGCCCAGCUUGUCUGGGAUAGCGACUUAUAGCGCCCUGGAAAGGUGCGCGUUAAGUCAAAAGUAAGAGCCCACAGUUCUACUAGGUGACUAGUAGAAGAGGUAAACCCUGUCUGCUGCAAGGGAUAUGUCGCAUCCGCCAACCGGCGGAGAGCAGCCUGCUCGCGGCUAUAUCAUAAAGUAAUCCGCUCGAGCCGGUUGGCAACAAUCGGCCCAGAUAGAUGACCAACCCCGACAGAAUCCGGCUUACGUCAGCCCGACCAC
rnacentral:RNase_P_RNA from 1 species